rnacentral:antisense_RNA from 1 species
AAUUUUGGUGGCUCGAAUGGGAGGGCGCGAGCCCUGCCGGUUUCCCUUGGGUUUCCCGGUCUGUCAACCCGUUCGAGCCACCGCCCGA